GCGCUAUUAGGCUAGUGGUUAGGACUUUGCUUUCCCAUCCCCUGAUAGAUCAAGCGACAGCUCGAGUUCGAAUCUUGGAUAGCGCA